CCCUAAACCUAAAGAAAUGAAGUGUCCAUCUAUGAAUCCUGAUGCACUACCUUCAAACAAACUGUAUAUUUCAACAAAUUCAACAUCCUAUCAUUUCUUGGAUCCACAGCUGGUUGAAACUCAUCAACCAAUAAUAGUAAUCACAAAUUCAAUAAAGGAAUUGUAUUCAACGAAGACUACUUGUAUUCUCUCUUCCCUUGUUCGCUGGAAAACAAAUUCCUUGCCGCAUAUUAUCACAAAUAUUCUCCCAAUUCUUUUGGUUGCUCCGCAAAACCCAAUUGCAUCAAACCAAAACUACAAACAAAACAUUUUCAAUUUGGGAUUUUCUUCCGCAUAUUCUCUUAUAAUCCCAUUUCUUCAUCAUCUCCUCGACCAAUUAAUCACAAGACUGCAAUGGAAUAUUCCGCCUUUAAUUUCUGCGUGCGUGUAUGCAUCGUGUAUACCCAGCGAGUUUAAUAAAUAGGGAACAUGAGCGCCCAAAUCUUUUUCCAGAUCAGAUUAGAUUCCAAAAGCCAAAUUCUCCCUACGGAUUUUGUACCCUUUUCGUGUUAAAUUAAUCGGAGCGGUGGAUUCGCACACGGAGAUAACCAAAUAACAAUGAAAUUUGGGAGGGAAUUUGGGAAUCACUUGGAGAAAACCCUACCCGGAUGGAGGGACGAAUAUCUGCGCUACAAGCUUUUGAAGAAGCUGCUGAAUAACAUCUCACCCGCCGCCGGAGUUCUGCCGCUGCCGGAGUUCCAGGUCUGGUUUGUGGCGGUUCUCGCUGGGGAAAUUAGAAAAGUUCAACGAUUUCUACGUCGGCAAGGAGGAGGAUCUCAUCAUCCGCUUCCAGGUAACUAUCU
rnacentral:lncRNA from 1 species